AAUUAUCAAGAACCGUUCAAUCUUCUAUAUCUAAGGAUAGAUAUUAAUUCUCCAUCCUCUAAAAUUAGGGUUCAGCGCCGCUUCUUCUUCACUCUCAUUGCUUCUUCACUCUCAUUUCUUCUCCCAGUCUAAACCUUCCACUUUCUUCCACCUUUCACCGCUGCCGGCGAGAAGCUCAUCCGUGCUCUCCCUUGUCUUCUCUCUCCCUCUGCCUCAGCCUCUGCCGACUUUCUUCCACCUUUCGCCGCUGCCGGCGAGAAGCUCAAACGUGCUCUCUAUCGUCUUCUCUCUCCCUCUGCCGGAGAAAAACCUGCAACCGUAUCACGGCAAAGCCGCGGUCCAAAACCCUUUGAUCCCUAAACUACCAACUCCGGCCUCACAUCUAGACGACGCUCCACGCGGUGUCGCCUCUCUCCUCGACGACGAUAAAUGAGCCGCUGCCUCCCUCUGAUAAGCCCGUAUCCAGCCGCCGCCGUCCGAGUUUCAAACUACGGCGUCGCCCAGCCCUCUGCUAAGCCUGUAUCCAGCCGCCGCCGUCCGAGUUUCAAACUACGGCGUCGCCCAGCCCUAGCCUCCAGAUCUCGGCCUCCUCCCUCCAGAUCUCGGCCUCCUCCCUCGACUGUAUACAGUAAGAUAUUUUGGGCAUCUGAUUUUUGUCUAUUUUUAUGGUACAUCUGAUUUUUGAAAAUCUAUAAACAAUUUUUUUUACGCUAGAUCUGAUUUCAGUACUAUUUUUGGCUAUCUGAUUCAGUAGAUCUAUGAACAUCUUUGCUCUUGUUUGCAGUCUGUUUUUCGCAUUUGAUUUUUGUAGAUCUAUGAACAUCUUUAUUUUCUU
rnacentral:lncRNA from 1 species